rnacentral:rRNA from 1 species
UAGGGAAUCUUCGGCAAUGGGGGGAACCCUGACCGAGCAACGCCGCGUGAGUGAAGAAGGUUUUCGGAUCGUAAAGCUCUGUUGUUAAGGAAGAACGAGUGUGAGAAUGGAAAGUUCAUGCUGUGACGGUACUUAACCAGAAAGGGACGGCUAACUACGUGCCAGCAGCCGCGGUAAUACGUAGGUCCCGAGCGUUGUCCGGAUUUAUUGGGCGUAAAGCGAGCGCAGGCGGUUAGAAAAGUCUGAAGUGAAAGGCAGUGGCUCAACCAUUGUAGGCUUUAGAAACUGUUUAACUUGAGUGCAGAAGGGGAGGGUGGAAUUCCAUGUGGAGCGGUGAAAUGCGUAGAUAUAUGGAGGAACACCAGUGGCGAAAGCGGCUCUCUGGUCUGUAACUGACGCUGAGGCACGAAAGCGUGGGGAGCGAACAGG